rnacentral:rRNA from 1 species
UGGGGAAUUUUGGACAAUGGGCGAAAGCCUGAUCCAGCAAUGCCGCGUGUGUGAAGAAGGCCUUCGGGUUGUAAAGCACUUUUGUCCGGAAAGAAAUCCUUGGCUCUAAUACAGUCGGGGGUGACGGUACCGGAAGAAUAAGCACCGGCUAACUACGUGCCAGCAGCCGCGGUAAUACGUAGGGUGCAAGCGUUAAUCGGAAUUACUGGGCGUAAAGCGUGCGCAGGCGGUUUGCUAAGACCGAUGUGAAAUCCCCGGGCUCAACCUGGGAACUGCAUUGGUGACUGGCAGGCUAGAGUAUGGCAGAGGGGGGUAGAAUUCCACGUGUAGCAGUGAAAUGCGUAGAGAUGUGGAGGAAUACCGAUGGCGAAGGCAGCCCCCUGGGCCAAUACUGACGCUCAUGCACGAAAGCGUGGGGAGCAAACAGGAUUAGAUACCCCUGGUAGUCCACGCCCUAAACGAUGUCAACUAGUUGUUGGGGAUUCAUUUCCUUAGUAACGUAGCUAACGCGUGAAGUUGACCGCCUGGGGAGUACGGUCGCAAGAUUAAAACUCAAAUGAAUUGACGGGGUCAUAGCUGUUUCC